GUGAGGAAUAUUGGUCAAUGGGCGGGAGCCUGAACCAGCCAAGUCGCGUGAAGGAAGAAGGAUCUAUGGUUCGUAAACUUCUUUUGCAGGGGAAUAAAGUGCAGGACGUGUCCUGUUUUGUAUGUACCCUGAGAAUAAGGAUCGGCUAACUCCGUGCCAGCAGCCGCGGUAAUACGGAGGAUCCGAGCGUUAUCCGGAUUUAUUGGGUUUAAAGGGUGCGUAGGUGGUUUGAUAAGUCAGCGGUGAAAGUUUGCAGCUUAACUGUAAAAAUGCCGUUGAAACUGUCGGACUUGAGUGUAAAUGAGGUAGGCGGAAUGCGUGGUGUAGCGGUGAAAUGCAUAGAUAUCACGCAGAACUCCGAUUGCGAAGGCAGCUUACUAAGCUACACCUGACACUGAAGCACGAAAGCGUGGGGAUCAAACAGGAUUAGAUACCCCAGUAGUCC
rnacentral:rRNA from 1 species